UUGGCUGACUUGGUGAUGUGGAUGUGAUUCGUGCAUUAUUUGAGAGGGCAACAAGUUUGAGCCUGCCACCUAAAAGGAUGAAGUUCUUAUUCAAAAAGUAUGAAAGUCUGUAGGUGAUGAAGAAAGGAUUGAAUCUGUUAAGAGGAAGGCGAUGGAAUAUGUUGAGAGGUAGUCUUGCUUGAUGAGGAUGAAGAUGAAGAUGAAGAUGAGGAUGAGGUUGAGGUUGUUUCGCAUUUCAACGGGAAUCAUCCAUUGGGUACAGUCCAAAGUAUUAUGACAUCCGCUCGUUCACUCACCCACUCAAUAUUUGCAAUAGGAGGAUGAGUAGCAGCAGCACGACAGUUAGAAAUAGAUGGCAUAAAUAACUUAUAACCAUCCUCCUGUUUGUCUCAUGAUUGUGUAUGCUUUUUGUUUAAUUAAUUAUUCACUGAACGUCUUUGUUCUCUCUCUCUCUACAUUAAGGUUUCUUUUAUUUUUUAUUUUUGUUUCGGUGUCCUGAACAACACUUCAUAUAUAUAUAUAUAUACACACUAGUGGGUGAGUGUCACCCAAUAAAUGUCAUGUUAAAUCUAUAAAAUAUACAUUUUGAUUUUGAAUUAAAAA